AAACUAUAUCUGUACCAAAUUUCAACCAAAUCCGUCAAAUAGUUGCGGAGAUUAAUGGUAUAAGCAUAGAAUGUUCGACGUGAUUCUUUAAUUUGACAUAACUUUUUUAUUUAUGAACCGAUUGACAUGAAACAAACACUAAAUGUAAAUUUAAGCAUCCCACAAUAUAUUCGUGAAAACCGCAUCCAACUCGGAUCAGCCGUUUCUGAGAUUAGCGCGCACAGACGAACAGACAAACAGACAAACAGACAAAAAAAAGUUAAUUACAUUUUUGGGUUCGACAUCGACAUAACAAUAACCCCUGCUAUUUUUUUUAUUUUUAUUUUCAACUAGCUUCUGCCCGCGACUCCGUCCGCGCGGAUGUCGGUCUUCGCGUGGAAGUUUUAUUUCUCCAUUUUGAGUAACUGUGAAAAUUACAUCUUAUAAAUAUCUAUUGGACCCAAAUACGGCAAGGCCCAUAAUAAUUAAAGAGAUCCCUCUAUUGAGCUACUGCUGUUAAGCAGAAUAAAAAUGAAAAAUAAAGAUUUUUUUUUCUACGUAUUUUUCCAGGAUAAAAAGUAACCUAUUUUAUGUCCAGGAUAAUAAGUUAAUUAUACCAAGUUUCAUCGAAAUCAAACCGUUAGUUUUCACGUGAUGCCUGAACAUAUAUAGACAGACAGACAAAAAAAUAAUAAUCACAUAUUUGGGUUUGGUAUCGAUCCAGUAACACCCUGCUAUUUAUUUUUUCUAUAUUUUCAAUGAACAAAUUUGACCCUUCUACAGAUUUAUUAUAGCCCGCGACUUCGUUCGUGUGGAAUAGUGACUUCCGGCAAAUUUUUGGUUCUUCAAAAAUGAGAUGUGGAAGAUAUUCUAGGGAAUUCCUCAAAAAUCAACAUAAUGAGCUCUGCGUUUGAAUUUAAUAGAUGUAUACUCACUUAGGGCAUUGAAAAAAUAGUUUAAAAACGGACUUAAACUAAAGAAAUAUUAUAAUCUUUCCGAACUUAAGAUGAAAACUAACUUAAAACUAAAGAAUUAAAGAAAGCUACGAAUUACGAAUUUAUAACAAUUAAAAAAGAAAUUAUAUUACAACCUAUCCUCAAUGCUAUAAUACCAAGCCAAACCAAGCUUAAACUAAAUAAUUUAAAAGAAACGACUUAAAUCUAAUUAAUUUAUAAAUUAUAGACUUACAAUUUUAUUAAACAAACUAACAGUAACUACUAAUAAUCGAUAUCAAACUAAACCUACUUUAAAUAAUUUAACCAGGAAAACCCAACAAAUAAACUUUUUAAUAGACAAAUACAACGAAACCAAUUUAGAAUAUACGAAACAGCAGGACCACUGCAGACAAAUAAUCAUACGACUUAUAGUACACUAUUUCCACAACAGUACCGAAGCGCUCGGCCGAUACCCAACAAAUACUAAUAAUAAAAACGAUAGAAAACAAAUAAAAACUAUCCUAUGUCCUUUCUAAGGUUCUAAACUAUAUCUGUACCAAAUUUCAACCAAAUCCGUCAAAUAGUUGCGGAGAUUAAUGGUAUAAGCAUAGAAUAAUGUUCGACGUGAUUCUUUAAUUUGACAUAACUUUUUUAUUUAUGAACCGAUUGACAUGAAACAAACACUAAAUGUAAAUUUAAGCAUCCCACAAUAUAUUCGUGAAAACCGCAUCCAACUCGGAUCAGCCGUUUCUGAGAUUAGCGCGCACAGACGAACAGACAAACAGACAAACAGACAAACAGACAAA